UACGGGGGGGGCAAGCGUUGUUCGGAAUUACUGGGCGUAAAGGGCUCGUAGGCGGCCAACUAAGUCAGACGUGAAAUCCCUCGGCUUAACCGGGGAACUGCGUCUGAUACUGGAUGGCUUGAGUUUGGGAGAGGGAUGCGGAAUUCCAGGUGUAGCGGUGAAAUGCGUAGAUAUCUGGAGGAACACCGGUGGCGAAGGCGCACACCUGGCCCGAUACUGACGCUGAGGCGCGAAAGCUAGGGGAGCAAACGGG
rnacentral:rRNA from 1 species